rnacentral:lncRNA from 1 species
AUUCCCCUACAAAAAUUCCCAUAUCUCUUUUAAAUAUUUUAAUGAAAAUGACUAAUACAUUUUCCUCUUUCCUGUUGCCACAUCAGUCUGCUCAAGGACGCGCAGUAAGAUGUCAAUGUAAUCACCAGAGGGCCCCAUCUUUGAUUCAACAAAGCGACAGGAUGUCAGAGAGAAGAGGGCAACAAGGCAAUGACAAGGCUACCCAAACAUACUGGAGACCACCAAGCAACCCUGGCGUGUUACCCACCCCCUUGCUGUCCCCGUGGCAGGCACAGCACCAAGGCUUGACCCGUACCAGCAUGCCCCAGCGCAGGCAGACCUCAAAUACUACAGUCUUUACACCCCAACGAGGACCUCCACCAGGGAAGACUAAUAAGAGCUCGCCCCACCGCGGCCCACAGUAGCUUCAGAAGAUGUAAAUCAGAGGAACCAGCCUAUGAAGGUGCUGACCAACCUUUUAAAGGUCUUUUUCCAGAUGAGUCUAGGCCAGUAGAUCCUGGCGAGGGGAAUCGUUCCUGUAGCACCGCGUUACGCAACCCAGUUUCUGGGACUCCACGGGGGAUAAGUGCGAGAGAUGGUCCAGUAUCAGCAGCUCCGUCUGCAGCACAGCAGGAGUGGAGAAUCCCCGCUGUGACACUAAAGAACACUGUCACCCCUCCAGCUGCUGGUUCCACUUGCUACGACACGCUGCCGCCGAUUCGACUUCACAAGCGCAUGCCUCUUCCUACAUCCAAACCAGGGGGCACUGGUGGCUUUGCUUUGCCGAAGCCGAGGUCUUCCCCAGUAUUGCUGGCAAACCAGUCUAAGCUGCUUCCGCCUCCAACUAAAGGCCUUCCCUGCUUUAACAGCAGGCCGCAGGUGCAGGCCCCCAGUGCUUCGUACUUUGUUGCUUCAGCCUCACAGAACUUCAGAGACUUGCAGGGAUACACAAGGAAGAAAGCAGCCAGAGAACAUUCAAACAACUCGUGUCAGCCACAGCCUGGAUCCCCUUAAGCAGCUCACGCCUCCUCAAGCCAAAGAAUCCCUGCGGAGGUGAAAUUUGUUCAUGAGCACAAAGCUAAAGUUACUCCAAUGUUGACAACAGUCCUUUUUUUUUUUUAUUUAUUUUUUUUUCUCUUGGUAGGUUUUCUUUUUGAGUUGUAACAGAACUAGCUCUAAGUACAGUAUAGGCUGGUACACUGCACUUGUUGAUGUAUUGGUAAACAGCUUAAACGGGAUGCAUUAUUUGUUUUUGUAUGACUCACACAACUCCAUUAGAUACAGAUUGCGUUAUUUAUUAAACACAGUUCAGUUUCUACAGUCCCAUGAGACAUAGACACAUUUAUACUGCUGUCAGAGGGAAAACCAGUAAAUGGCAUAUGGAGAGGGUGAAGAUGGAUAAAUGGCACCAGAAUUAUAAUACUGAAAUUAAAAUCAGUAAAUAAAGAAUAAAAACAGCACUACGUAAAAUAAUGA